AGUGAACGCUGGCGGUAGGCCUAACACAUGCAAGUCGAACGGCAGCACAGUAAGAGCUUGCUCUUACGGGUGGCGAGUGGCGGACGAGUGAGGAAUACAUCGGAAUCUACUUUUUCGUGGGGGAUAACGUAGGUAAACUUACGCUAAUACCGCAUACGACCUACGGGUGAAAGCAGUGGAUCUUCGGACCUUGCGCGAUUGAAUGCGCCGAUGUCGGAUUAGCUAGUUGGCGGGUUAAAGGCCCACCAAGGCGACGAUCCGUAGCUGGUCUGAGAGGAUGAUCGGCCACACUGGAAGUGAGACACGGACCAGGCUCCUACGGGAGGCAGCAGUGGGGAAUGUUGGACAAUGGGCGCAAGCCUGGUCCAGCCAUACCGCGUGGGUGAAGGAGGCCUUCGGGUUGUAAAGCCCUUUUGUUGGGAAAGAAAAGCAGCAGGUUAAUACCCAGCUGUUCUGACGGUACCCAAAGAAUAAGCACCGGCUAACUUCGUG
rnacentral:rRNA from 1 species